GGGGGGGGGGUUACGGGGGAACUCACAAAGACUGUAUGAAUAUGAAAGGAGACAAACAAAGCUGAAUAUGGAGUGAGACGCUGGCCGGUCAGGGACGAGCAGAGCGGCGGGAGGACAUUUGAUUAUUUCAUGCGCUUUGAGCUGCAGUGGCUCCUAAUGCAGUCGCUGCCUGUUAUAACAUGUCAGUCACAAAUGGGCAGCAAUCAGGUUUCACCAUAACCAUGAGAAUCUCUCUCUUUAUCCCUCUAGAGGUAAAUCCUAAGAAGCCUAAACCUGCGAAUGUCUCAGCACUUUAUUUGGUUUGUUUGAGUGACAUUAUCUGAUGGCUCCAUCAUCACAAAGCAGCCUCCAUCGAGUAGCUGAUAGUCUUCUAAGCCUGAAUAACUCCAUUAGUGAGGCAGCAUCACAUGCUCUGGAGGCCUGUUAUGAUCCCUGGUCUGACUCUGCCUAGUGGCUCUCGCUUUUCUAACCACGCCCCCUUGUGCAUGACCACGCCCACUCACCUCCAGCCACGCCCCUUGUAUUUAGCCCACUUCCUGCUCCUCCUCUUUGUCUCCCUUCAGCAGUUCUAAUCAUCUAACCCAGUUCACCUGUUCACCAUCCCAUUCACACUUUUUCUGCUGGUUCUUCUGUCCUUCAUGCCACGGGUCCACGUAAACUGCAUCGCUUCAUGAAUCCAUAAAUAUUUUUGUGUUGUGACAUAUCUAUGUAGUUUUGAGUAAUCAUGUUUGUGGUCCUCUUUGAGAAAGCUCAUGUUAUUUUUGAGUAAUCCUGGUCUGAGUGGCUUUAUUUGAGAUACCAUGUUAGAAACCAUGUUUGGAAGAACACAUUAUAUUUAAGAGCCUGUUCCAGACAAGACAUUUUUGUUACUUAAUGCAGGAGAGUCAUUGUGGCUGUUCUUCUAGUCUUGCUGAGGUUUCUCCUGGCCUUUUUCUUAAAACCUUGGCUUCUUAACACCACUCCCACAGACUCCAUUUUACGGCGGAGCCUUGCAGCCGGGGGAAAGGCGACAGGUCUGCAGAGCUGCAGGUCAUGAAGCGCGAUGAGCUCAGGCAGAGGAGGGCGAAUCAGCGCUGUUGUCAUGACAAUAUUGAACACAGUUUCCAUGGAGAACGGCGGCCCGAGCCAUUCCACAGCUGAAUUCAUUUAUGUGAUGCGGUGGAAAAGGGAGCAAUCUGACGUCUAAUCUUUCCUGGAUGAAGAACAAACUUCCUUUAUGCGCAUGUAAUUCAGAGGCCGGCCUAGAAUAGGCUACGUGGAGUUUCCACUAUGCACAAGAGAUGAAGAGUGUCCAUAUAUGAAUUAUUUAUCACUGCUGGACUAUCGUGGCCUAUGAAUUGGAUCAAUGUAUUGAAUUCACUUUGUGCAACUUAUUCCUUUUAGAAUAAAACACUCUCAUUAA